UUUGUCAAAAAUUUCAAUAAUUGUUCCUUUAAGAAAAAUACUAAAAAUAAUCUUUUGAAUUGCAGUUGGUUAAAAAGUAAGCUUUGACGAAUGCAAACAAGGGAAGUGAAUAAAUAACAAAUCGUAUAUUCUUCGCUUGAUUUUAGGUGAAGCUUUAGUAUAAUUCGAGAAAAAGAAAACAUAGGUAUAUGGACAUAUUUUAUAUAUAUUUAUACAGGAAAAAUUUUUUCCCGGGUUCUCAUUUGAAGCCUAGAUUCGAGAAUUAAGAUGUUUGACGCUAAAAGAUGUUUGACGUUUUAAAAAUUACUCGAAUGUGUAGCAAUGUGUAGCAUACAAUUAAAUGUCGACAGAGAAAAGAAUUAUUUCAAAAUUUGAUGAGAAAUACGUCUCAUUAUUCAUCUCUAAAGUGACUCUGUUACUGAACUCUGUUUUUACUGCACAGUAUUUACAUAGCGGCGAAAUAAUCGGGAGCCCGUUUUGGCAGCCCCAGACAAUUCGAGGACUUGAAGAAAGCCUGACUUGUUCUAAUACGCGAAGUAUAUAAAUAUCAUUCGCCAGCGAGUUAGCGAGCUUAUUGGCGGUUGACCAAGCAAUCUGCACCGAUGUUUACCUUAAUAUCACUUUCGUUGGGCAAUGUCGGAGAUACUGAAAUAGCGGAAUGACACACCGACGGUCCGUGCUUUACGGAAUUAAAAUGUCAUAUUAAGCCGUAUAACACUAAUUGUAACUACACAACAGUACGUGAGGCUUUUGAUAAAAAGGCAAAAGGCUAACCAUGAAAGAACACUUGAUAUUUGUUACAAAUAAUAAUUUUUUAUCGAUAAAUAUAUUUCAGAUUUGAUAAAAAGUAUGCUAAUGACCAUUGUGCGUUUCCACGUGGCCGUAUCAGCGUUCAAUCUUUAACACCUGCAGCGCACAUAUUCUAAUACGACUCGGUAUACGACUAUACGUUAUCGAGCGUACGUGUAUUUUUAUACCGUCUAUAACGAGCUGGGCGACACGGUAUGUGUCGCACCUUACAAUCGACCAGCACUCGUUUGUGGAUAAAUCGGUGAACGACCAUUGGGAUCUAAUUGGGUGAAGAGAAAUCUCGAUCGAUCGGACUGUUGAUCCCCGGGCGAAAGUCUGCGCGCGACGCUCGCUGCCAAUUAUUAAUUUUGAAUUAAUUUAGCAAUUAUAAGACUACAAUUGGGACUACUUAACGCGAUAAAAGCAGUACUAGUUUCAGCGACUAAAUCGUUUCUCGUCCGUCGACCUCAACGCUGUUAUAACGUAACGACAUAACGAUAUUAAUCCUGUUAAACGUAACGACAUUAAAUUGAAUCAGUUUUGCUAAUUCCGACGGAUAUUGAACCGCAGCGGACGGUAACUUCAUCAGCUUUGCGUCUCUUUGGAACCUGUCAGUUCGCCAUUGCUAAACCUAAUGGUAAUUUCAACCAUGACUAUAUAAACAGUCAAUUUUGACUAUAAAUUCUAUCAUUUAUCGAGUCGCUGAAAUCGCCGUUUAUCGUUACUGCGUGUAUAGUCUCGUUUAAAUGUAAUUUAAUCGCACAGGCAAAAAGAAGCGAUCGAUUCGUCGGUCGCGAGGAAGCGAACUUACCAGGUCCUUGUGCAGGUCCUUGCUGAUGUGCGACGUCAGCUUCAUCGUGCCGACGAAGACGAAGAAUAUGCCGAGGAGCACCGAGAGCGACUUGAGCACUAUCGAGCCCAUCUUGACAGCCUAAUAGGUAUAUCGGUAUCGCGUGUAUUCGCGUGGGAAACUGUGAAAAACGCCGCCGAUCGAUCGGAGUUCGCCGGAAGCGAGCGCGGCGCGGACGGCCGCGACUGAGCGCGGAUCACGCUCUCGGCGGAGGCCGCGGCGGCGGCGACGGCGGCGGCGAGCGGCGAGGGCGCGUCUAGGGGCACAUGCUCGGCGUCGAGCGUCGGCGAGUUUAAGCGGCCGCGGCGACGACGGCGACAGCGACGGCGACGACGUCCAUGGCGCGGAUCAUCCCGAUGUCCUCUGAGGCCGGAGCGCGGCGCACGGACGACGUCCCUCUCCCCUCUCGUCCCCCCGAGCGUCGAGGUGACGUCAGCGGCGGACGCGCGCGUCGUCGGCGUCGUCGCGCCGGCUAUUUUCUGAUCGAUAACGGCGACGCCGCGGCCGUUUCGCUUCUCUUCUCUUCCGCGCCAAUCGAUGUUGGAUAUGCUCCCCCUCGCUCGGGGGGUCGAUCAUAAAUCUUGAAGAGAAGUGAAAAUUACGAUCUAGUAAAUCUGUUUACUUUUGUAAUUUUCAUUUUCACCUUUUUUUUUUCAAGAUGCAUGAUCGACCCCCAGGCCGAUUUCGAUCGAGCUCCGAUUAACCCGACGCGUUGACUAUCAUCACUGUAAAUUAGAUAACUUUGCUACCGACACCAAUUUAAUAUCAACAUUUUAUAUCGUUUAAUAAUGUUACUUAACUAUAUUUAUUCCUCAUCUCAAACUGAAUAAAAUUGUAUCUUCCCCUUCAAAAAAACGAUUCGGUGAGUAGCUGGUCCCCGUAGAUCCAUCCGUAGAUCACCGCAACUGCGAGUUAUCCGGCGGUCAAUGUGUUAAUCACAGAUUAAUUUGUCGGGUAACGCUCGUAUCAUUAAUAAUAAUAGCUUAAUAACUUUAUUGUAGGAGAAGAGAAGUGUAGAAGAGAUGAAAUGUUGUACAUGAAAGUGAAUAUAGUAAAUAGUAAAAUAGCAGCAAU